GAUGAACGCUGGCGGCAUGCCUAAUACAUGCAAGUCGAGCGAACGGACGAGAAGCUUGCUUUUCUGAUGUUAGCGGCGGACGGGUGAGUAACACGUGGAUAACCUACCUAUAAGACUGGGAUAACUUCGGGAAACCGGAGCUAAUACCGGAUAAUAUUUUGAACCGCAUGGUUCAAAAGUGAAAGACGGUCUUGCUGUCACUUAUAGAUGGAUCCGCGCUGCAUUAGCUAGUUGGUAAGGUAACGGCUUACCAAGGCAACGAUGCAUAGCCGACCUGAGAGGGUGAUCGGCCACACUGGAACUGAGACACGGUCCAGACUCCUACGGGAGGCAGCAGUAGGGAAUCUUCCGCAAUGGGCGAAAGCCAGACGGAGCAACGCCGCGUGAGUGAUGAAGGUCUUCGGAUCGUAAAACUCUGUUAUUAGGGAAGAACAUAUGUGUAAGUAACUGUGCACAUCUUGACGGUACCUAAUCAGAAAGCCACGGCUAACUACGUG
rnacentral:rRNA from 1 species